AUACGGAGGAUCCGAGCGUUAUCCGGAUUUAUUGGGUUUAAAGGGUGCGCAGGCGGCCAUUUAAGUCAGCGGUUAAAUCGUGGGGCUCAACCCCAUUCUGCCGUUGAUACUGGGUGGCUUGAUUGCGGUCGAGGUUGGCGGAAUUCGUUGUGUAGCGGUGAAAUGCUUAGAUAUCACGAAGAACUCCGAUCGCGAAGGCAGCUCACCGGGCCGGAACUGACACUGAUGCUCGAAAGUGCGGGUAUCAAACAGGAUUAGAUACCCUGGUAGUCCGCACAGUAAACGAUGAAUACUCGCUGUUUGCGAUACACGGUAAGCGGCCAAGCGAAAGCGUUAAGUAUUCCACCUGGGGAGUACGCCGGCAACGGUGAAACUCAAAUGAAUUGACGGGG
rnacentral:rRNA from 1 species